rnacentral:rRNA from 1 species
UACAGGGGAUGCAAGCGUUAUCCGGAAUGAUUGGGCGUAAAGCGUCCGCAGGUGGCAGUUCAAGUCUGCUGUCAAAGACCGGGGCUUAACUUCGGAAAGGCAGUGGAAACUGAACAGCUAGAGUAUGGUAGGGGCAGAGGGAAUUCCUGGUGUAGCGGUGAAAUGCGUAGAGAUCAGGAAGAACAUCGGUGGCGAAGGCGCUCUGCUGGACCAUAACUGACACUCAGGGACGAAAGCUAGGGGAGCGAAUGGG